rnacentral:SRP_RNA from 1 species
GCCCAACGUGGUGGCACAUGCCUAUAGUCUCAGCUACUCGGGAGGCUGAGGUGGUGGAUCCCGUGAGCCCAGGAGUUCUGGGCUGUAGUGCACUAUGCCGAUCAAGUGUCCUCACUAAGUUCAGCAUCAAUAUGGUGACCUACCAGGAGUGGGGGACCACCAGGUUGCCUAAGGAAGGGUGAAUCAACCCAGGUUGGAAACAGAGCAGGUCAAAACUCCCAUGCUGAUCAGUAGUGGGAUCGAGCCUGUGAAUAGCCACUGCACUCCAGCCUGAACAACAUAGGGAGACCCUGUCUCUU